rnacentral:rRNA from 1 species
AACGAACGCUGGCGGCAUGCCUAACACAUGCAAGUCGAACGAACCCUUCGGGGUGAGUGGCGCACGGGUGCGUAACACGUGGGAACCUGCCCUUAGGUUCGGAAUAACACAGAGAAAUUUGUGCUAAUACCGGAUAAUGUCUUCGGACCAAAGAUUUAUCGCCUUUGGAUGGGCCCGCGUAGGAUUAGCUAGUUGGUGAGGUAAAGGCUCACCAAGGCGACGAUCCUUAGCUGGUCUUAGAGGAUGAUCAGCCACACUGGGACUGAGACACGGCCCAGACUCCUACGGGAGGCAGCAGUGGGGAAUAUUGGACAAUGGGCGAAAGCCUGAUCCAGCAAUGCCGCGUGAGUGAUGAAGGCCUUAGGGUUGUAAAGCUCUUUUACUGGGGAUGAUAAUGACAGUACCCAGAGAAUAAGCCCCGGCUAACUCCGUGCCAGCAGCCGCCGUAAAAC